GACGGAGGGUGCAAGCGUUGCUCGGAAUCACUGGGCGUAAAGGGUGCGUAGGCGGUCUCGCAAGUCUGGCGUGAAAGCCCAAGGCUCAGCCUUGGAAGUGCGCUCGAAACGGCGAGGCUGGAGUGCCGGAGGGGAGAGUGGAAUUCCCGGUGUAGCGGUGAAAUGCGUAGAUAUCACUUGGAACGCCAAUGGUGAAAACAGCUCGCUGGGAAUGAUCUGACACUGAGACGCGAAAGCCAGGGGAGCGAACGGG
rnacentral:rRNA from 1 species